UUUUCCCUUUCCCCUCACUUCCUCUUGUAUGUACUUUUGUAUAACCCUGAGGGUCUCCUUCCAUUUCCAUGCAAUUUCCCUUCUCUCUCCCACCUCUCAUCCCUAUUUAAUGUUAAUCUUCUUCUCCUGCUCUUCGACCCUACUCUGUUCUUAGUUACUCUCCUUAUAUCAAAGAAGACAUUUGGCAUUUGUUUUUUAGGGAUUGGCUGGCUUCACUUAGCAUAAUCUGCUCUAAUGCCAUUCAUUUCCCUGCAAAUUCCAUGAUUUUGUCAUUUUUUAAUGCAGAGUAAUACUCCAUUUAUAAAAUUAAAACCUUUCUGUAAUCAGACAAAACAAAGUAUAAAGAAGUACUUGUCUGCAGAUGGCAGGUUACUGCCUCGACUGACCUAGUCUCUCUUCUAGAAUCAAUAUACUCAAGAUUACAAACAUAAAUAUUUAAAUAUAUCUAACAAAACCCAAAUUGUUUAUGAUGGAUCAAUACAUGUGUUCAUUUUUUCAAAUAGUUCUAGUUUUUCUAUUGCACGCUUUCCUAACAAUGAUGAAAAAGAGUUUCUCAUACAAAGCAUAUAUUUUAGGCCUAAAGACUUAUUUAUAUAUUAAAUUUGAUUGGUGUGUUUUCCCCAAAAUUAUAAAUUGGUUAUUGACAUUGAGUAACACAUGACAUUUAUAUUGUCAUGAACCACAUUAUUAUACAGUAUGCAAAAUAACCUCUUUAUAUAUGAAACCAUUCUUUGAAGCCCUAGCAACAAAACCUAAUUUAAAGCCACAGAGCUAACAAUUUUAAAAUGAAGUAUAGGAUAGGAAAUUCAUCCAGAUAGUUUUCUCGCUACUCAGUUUUAUUACUUAUUUCAUAAUUUCAUACCCAUUUUAUAAAUGUAAGUCAAAUGCUUAGAAAUUAUAUCUAAUCCUAAAGUUUUCUUUAUUUACUUUAUUUAUUUUGGUAAGAGAAAAAAAGGAUUCUUAGUUUUUUUCCAACAUUACUGGAUAAUUUCCCCCCUUUGCCUGUAUAUCUGACCUGUUUAACUCUUGGCCACCAUCAGUUUAGAAUAUAACACUCCACAAGCUAAACCUCUUAACUAUAUAACACUAAAUCAGUGAAAACAACUACAAAACAAUUGAAAUUUGUUUUAAGUCUUCCUGUAUCAUUGAAGAUAUUUUUAAAUACAUGUUUAAUGAUGUAAACUGUGAAUAAAAGAAUAAUUAUAUGUGGACUUUUUUAGAAUACUUUAUGUCAAUGCUCUAAGCUUUACCUGAAAUCAUUAAAGGGAGGGUAAAGUACCUAGUUAAGGCUUUCCGUGUCAUAUUUAGUCUAUAUUGUGGACAAUAUUGUUGCAGUUUGCAAUCUUGAUCCCAAGCGUAGCUCCCUUUUUUGCUGCAAGUUCUAUACAUCCCAGUCCAUUGCCUUGCAACUUCCUUUUCUAGGAAGACACACUGACAUCAAAGUUGGCCAUAGUGAACUGGGGCUCUAGCUCAGUUGGUAGAAUGCUUGCCUAGAAUGUACAAGGUCCUGGGUUUCAUCCUAGAUAGAUAGAUAGAUAGAUAGAUAGAUAGAUAGAUAGAUAGAUAAAAUGUUGGUUGUAUGACUUUCUCUGUGAACAAAAUGUAAUGCAUCACUUCUAAGCAGAACUUCAGAAGGCAGUGCCUUUUUCUAUCAUUUCCUCUUCUUCCUACUGCCACAGAAAUGUGUCCCCAAGAAGAGUGAAUUCUUUAAGUUAGUCUCCAGGAGAAAACAUGGAGCUGUUGCCACCAGUAGACAAAGAAACAACAACAAAAAAAUCUCAGUCUGUAUUGUUGAGAUUUGGGGAAUUUGUGUGAGUGUAACAAAAUGUAACUGAUAAUAUAUAUGCUCUAUAAGAUUGGUUGUGCUAUAUGGCUUGUAUAAGAAGGAAACUGAGGCUCAGAGAAGUUAAACAAGUUUUCCCCCAAAAUCGAGAUUUGGAGUUUAUAAGUAAAAAUUCCUUUAUGAGAGAUUUUCUGUGUUUUGGUUUUCUUAUCUGAAAAAAAAACUAGUAGUAAUUU
rnacentral:lncRNA from 1 species